rnacentral:rRNA from 1 species
GACGAACGCUGGCGGCGUGCCUAAUACAUGCAAGUCGAACGCUUCUUUCCUCCCGAGUGCUUGCACUCCAUUGGAAAGAGGAGUGGCGGACGGGUGAGUAACACGUGGGUAACCUACCCAUCAGAGGGGGAUAACACUUGGAAACAGGUGCUAAUACCGCAUAACAGUUUAUGCCGCAUGGCAUAAGAGUGAAAGGCGCUUUCGGGUGUCGUUGAUGGAUGGACCCGCGGUGCAUUAGCUAGUUGGUGAGGUAACGGCUCACCAAGGCCACGAUGCAUAGCCGACCUGGGAGGGUGAUCGGCCACACUGGGACUGAGACACGGCCCAGACUCCUACGGAGGCAGCAGUAGGGAAUCUUCGGCAAUGGACGAAAGUCUGACCGAGCAACGCCGCGUGAGUGAAGAAGGUUUUCGGAUCGUAAAACUCUGUUGUUAGAGAAGAACAAGGACGUUAGUAACUGAACGUCCCCUGACGGUAUCUAACCAGAAAGCCACGGCUAACUACGUG